CCUAUGAAAAGAGGACAUGUUAAGUUAUUACGUAGUGGGGAAAUUUUCUUAAGCCUGGAAACUCCACUGCAGUUCUGCAGCUUCACUAGCAAACCAAUAGGAAGCAGCGCUUUCCACUUACGUCAUCAUCUUCAAUCAGCGUCACCACUCUUCCGGGCUGCGGGGACAGAAAGAGAAAUGGGUCACGUCAUGGACAACGCCUGAAACAGUCUGAGCCAAGCAGUCCACAAAGAGCAGCAUCAACGCAGCCAAACUGUGCAAAUGACUCAAAUCUUAAUGAUGAAGGGAAGAGGUCUUACACCGUGAGAUGGAGCAACUCUUUGAAGAGAGAAAACCUGUGGGUUUGAUCCACUUCAGAUUCUUCCAUCUGCUUGACGGAUGCUUUCCCAAUUGUUUGUGGAUUUGAGGGACGCUGCAGAGAAAGCCACAGUUCCUGUUCUCACCAUUCUGGCCAGUUCUCACGAAUAAACCGUGAUCGUCUGACAAGGAAGCAUAAACAGGUUGAUUGGUUGGAGAGAGGACAAGAGAAUAUCUAUUGUUGUCGAUGGAAUGUGGAGAAUGCUGCUGUAUUAAAUAUGAAGCAGGAACGCUGCCAUGAUGUCAGCCCCUCAUUUUAUCAGCACCAUCAUCAUUUUUAGCUUUUUAUGAGUGAAGAAGGGUGAAAGCUACUGUGCAUGAGAACACAUUGGCAAAGCAACUGGAAAUGAACAACACAAACGUUUUAGACAAAAAUCUCACAUGGUGAAAUGCUGUUUCACUGUGAAGCCAAGUUAAUUAUGAUAUGAAAAAAACUGAAACUAACUUAUGGAGACGUUCCACCACGGCAGUCCAAUAAAACUAGUGGGAACAGUUCCUGUCAGAAGUGAUAAAUAUUCAGUAAUGUAAGGCCCAGAAAUGGUUUAGUAAAUAACAAGAAAGUCUUGUGGGAACAGGAACGAUCAAGGACUCAUCAUUCAAAUUACAAAAUGGAUUCUGAACAAUUAAAUGACAGUUUAGAACCUUCUGCAAAAGAAAUCUGAAAAAAUGACAGCAUUCAACAAGAAAGUCGCUAACAGCGAUGACUCAGUUUGUCCAUCUUUGGAGUCGUGGUUGUUGCUCUGUAGAAGUGAAGCUAAAUACUGCACAAAGAGAGCAAACUAUUUUCUGAUGGCUAAAUGAAAUCUCCCAAGAAUUUGCUUGUGUGCAUUAUUCAUCUUUCGGAACACUCUUGACAAAAUGUAACUCUUUGUUCAUGUGGACAUAAAGCUGUGACAUGUUCAGUUUUGGGCUUUUAGACUGCAGACAAUGAGAAGAAGGAAGCAGCAGAUUCUACUGUUAACGGAUAACACAUGGAUUCAUUUAAAGUCGCAACAGUUUUCACACAUCCUACUUGAAGACAUGACUUGGACGUAUGUUAUGGAAAAGCAACAGAAGCACAGGUGAAGCAGACUUACUCUUUACAUUGUGGGAACAUGACAGCAGAUACAGACGUAUUUAUCUGAUCCUGCUAAGCUGUUGGGACACCUGUUAUAUUGAUCAGGAGGCCUCAGUGAUUUUCACUCUCCGCAGUGCAGCUCAUAUUUGAAGUCCAUCUGGGCUUUAUCGUAAAACUAAUAUAAAUCUUGAUUUAAGUGAAGGGAAGCCAAUAUGUUGUAGCAGAUUGACAGUGACGUCGGCAGUAAGACCAGAGGAGGAAGGUAGAUUUAUGACCUACUCGUCAGAGGCACAGGUUCAGUUCCCGGCUGUGCAUUGGGUCCCUCUUAGUCACACCUGAAAGAGCUCCCUUAAGGAAGUCACUGGUGACCUACAUAAAAGAAAGUCAGUCAUUGGAUUGGAUUGGAGUCUCUCUGGAUUUCUCAUUUGCUCCAGUUGCAGGUGAAGGAAAUGACCUGCAGAGGUUGAGUAGUUAAGAUUUGUUGGACUCUUUGAUGCCAGCCAAAUGAAUGUGAAAGUUAAAUAUUGUAAAGUGUUCUAAAACCUGAAGUCCUUUGAUCUGAUGAAAACAUGUUUCUAGUUGUCUGUUAUUGAGACCCAACAGAAUUAAACUUUAUUAAAGUUCAUUUAAGAAACUAAAACAGAUUGUAAAUAAAGGCAAGAAUUAGUAUUGAAGAGGUUAGUAUGACUGGUCACUUCGAAAACCAGGGACAAUUGUCGAGUUCAUUGGUUCUGAAUUGACAUUUGGACUUCACAGGAGCAUAUUGCCCCUUAAAUCUCAUCUGUCUGCUUUGGUAAUGUUCUCCCCCAUGCACUGUUUUGGAACUUUCUUAUCCUUUCUCUGACGUUUCGUGUUUACUACAAACAGCAGUGCACCGGUACUGACCUGGCCUUUUGACGAGUACACUGGCAACAUGAACCAACAGGGUUGUUUAGCCGAGCUGCAAACUACAGGGAAGGUGUCGUCAUCGUCAUCAAAACUCACCUUUUUCUCAGAACAUCGUGGUCUGGAGGAGGGACGUGAGGUUGUGUUUUCGCUUAAUGCCAAGCACAAUGAGGGUUAGCUAAAAAUUAACGCUGUGUUAGUUGUCAGGCUAUAAAUAAUGGAUUGGGUUUGAGUGUAACUGAAAUUGAAGAGGGGCUCUGCAGAAUUGACUCUGCCUGCUUUUAGUGAAAAUCAAGCAAAGCACAACUGUAAAGUGAAUGGUAAAAACAAUAUCUAAUUUUUAGUGAUUUAAAUAACUUAAUGUUUCAAUUGCAAACAAUUUAAAAUAAUGCAUAUAUGGCUUUUCUGGAAAUUGGUAAAAGUGGAAGACCCCUGGAAUAUUGGGUGCAGUAUGUGGGUAAGUUAACGACAUUAUAGGGCCCAGGUGGAAAUGAUUCAGAAGUCAGACACAUGCUGUGAUUACGGACAUGAUCUCAGGGUAUAUAGAUUGUAGGAAUUUGCUGCUUUCUCCACACUUCAACUCUUGUAUCCAUGGAAACACAGGGUAUAUAGGCUAAAAUUAGUGACAGCAGCUCCUGAAGUUGAUAAAAGCAUUGAAUAUCCUUCACCAUGAACAGAGAACCGUCAUUACACAUUCAGACAAGUGGAGGGACUAACACCACUCUCUGAUAAUUAAUGCUCAGAAUGAAUUUAUGAGCAUUUAGUCCAGGAUCAAGAACACACAUUAGUGUAGUGUUGGCGAUCAUUCAGUGAAUGAAUGAAAAAAAAAAACAAAAAAAAAACG